rnacentral:lncRNA from 1 species
AAGGAGCAUGAAAUUUGACUUGUACAUAAAAAUGAAAUGAAUUUCGUUCAACUAUGCCUAAACGUUACUCUUUUAACAAAUUGUUAGAAGAAAAAGCUGCAAAUUUUAUUCCUUUCGUUUAUUAAUUAAACUAGUAAAGAUGGUAUGUUUUAUUAAAAAUGAAGAUAAAAUAAAAUACAGACUGAGAAGGUAAACACAAUUUGACUUCCAACCAGAAGUGCAACAAAAUAAAGUUACCCCCUUCUAAAGAGACGUGAAGCAGAGAGUAACAUAUUGAAAAAUAUAUUUCAUAUACCUUGAUGGCACGCUUCAUUACCACACACUUGAAUGGAGUACGUCCAGAGUCUUAUAAUUAUUGUGUUCAGAUUUUGUUACCCUCUUCUUCUUGUCUUUUCUUCCUUUCCUUUUGCUUCUAGGAAUCUCCACAUAUUUUCUUUCAUCUGUCAUAAUUAUUAUUUCUGUAUUUUGCUCAUUAAUUCCUUGUGUACAGACAAGGCCUCUCACAUGGAGUGGGCCCAUGUCAAUAUUUUAUUGCAAAAAAUUAAAAACAAAAAAUAAAAAUCACUCCUCCCCGUGGCUGUGACCCCCCCUACUGUACACAGUCUACUUCAAGUUUGUUAGAGAAGCACUACAUUGACCUGAAAUUCAGAUGAGGGGCUGACAUCUCAACCCCUACCACAGGGGCCUAUCCAAGGCCCAUGUUUGAGCAGAAUUUUCCAUUUUGUUAUCCUCUCCUCCUUGUCUUAUCCAUUAUUUUCCCCUUGUAAUCAUUCAUAGAUAUAUAACCAUUUCUAGUGUCUAACUUCUCACUUUAAAACCUCUCAUACAGACGAGUCGAAACAACUAACAAGUGGUAACAUUUAUUUAGCCCCCGUUUGAUUCCCAUUAUUUUUAUAGAAAUAUGUGUGAUUAAAAAUAAGUUUUGAAAAAAUGACUUUCUAUAACCAAACACAC